UGUAGGUGUUUCACAAUGCAUAAAUUCAAGCAUGCCUAGGACAUAAAACAUCCUACCUAAUUCCUCCGACAUACCCAAUUGAGCUAUAGUGUCAGAGCAUAAAUACCUCGUCAGUGUUAUCUUAUGCUUAACAUGAGAUGAGUAACGUCUUUCCUACUCCGGGUUAUCAAAAAUUAUGUCGUGCGAAUUCGGAUGAUGGAUGGUCCAUUUCCGAGGCCUUGAU
rnacentral:lncRNA from 1 species